AUAAUAAUAAUAACAACAACAACAACAACAAUAAUAAUAAUAACGUAUACGGGUAUGGUAUUGAUAAUAAAAAUAACUCCGCCGAACGCGGAUCUGCGGCGGUAAUUGCGUCGGCCGCCGCGCGCUAUCGUGUAACGCGGGCGUAUUAUAUCGUUCGCGGUAUCGCGGUAUUAAAACGAUGAAAAAAAAAAAAAAAAAACAACAAGAUAAAAAGAAACCCGUAAAUAAAUAUUUUCUCGGUGCCGCCGCCGCCGCCGCCACGGCCGGGCAACCCCGUCCGC